UACAGAGGUCCCGAGCGUUUGUUCGGAUUCACUGGGCGUAAAGGGUGCGUAGGUGGUGAGGAAAGUCGGAUGUGAAAUCUCCGGGCUUAACCCGGAAAUGGCAUUGGAAACUACCUUGCUAGAGGUUUUGAGGGGGGACUGGAAUUCUCGGUGUAGCAGUGAAAUGCGUAGAUAUCGAGAGGAACACCGGUGGCGAAGGCGAGUCCCUGGAAAACACCUGACACUGAGGCACGAAAGCUAGGGGAGCAAACAGG
rnacentral:rRNA from 1 species